rnacentral:rRNA from 1 species
UGGGGAAUUUUGCACAAUGGGCGCAAGCCUGAUGCAGCGACGCCGCGUGAGGGAUGAAGGCCUUCGGGUUGUAAACCUUUUUCGCUCAUGGUCAAGCCGCAGCUUUGGGCUGUGGUGAGGGUAGUGGGUAAAGAAGCGCCGGCUAACUACGUGCCAGCAGCCGCGGUAAUACGUAGGGCGCGAGCGUUGUCCGGAAUUAUUGGGCGUAAAGGGCUUGUAGGCGGUUGGCCGCGUCUGCCGUGAAAUCCUCUGGCUUAACUGGGGGCGUGCGGUGGGUACGGGUUGACUUGAGUGCAGUAGGGGAGACUGGAAUUCCUGGUGUAGCGGUGGAAUGCGCAGAUAUCAGGAGGAACGCCGGUGGCGAAGGCGGGUCUCUGGGCCGUUACUGACGCUGAGGAGCGAAAGCGUGGGGAGCGAACAGG